rnacentral:rRNA from 1 species
UGGGGAAUAUUGGACAAUGGGCGCAAGCCUGAUCCAGCCAUGCCGCGUGAGUGAUGAAGGCCUUAGGGUUGUAAAGCUCUUUUAGCGGGGAAGAUAAUGACGGUACCCGCAGAAAAAGCCCCGGCUAACUUCGUGCCAGCAGCCGCGGUAAUACGAAGGGGGCUAGCGUUGCUCGGAAUUACUGGGCGUAAAGCGCACGUAGGCGGACUCUUAAGUCGGUGGUGAAAUCCUGGAGCUCAACUCCAGAACUGCCUUCGAUACUGGGAGUCUUGAGUUCGGGAGAGGUAAGUGGAACUGCGAGUGUAGAGGUGAAAUUCGUAGAUAUUCGCAAGAACACCAGUGGCGAAGGCGGCUCACUGGCCCGAUACUGACGCUGAGGUGCGAAAGCGUGGGGAGCAAACA